rnacentral:rRNA from 1 species
UACGUAGGGCGCGAGCGUUGUCCGGAAUUAUUGGGCGUAAAGAGCUCGUAGGCGGCUUGUCGCGUCUGCUGUGAAAACGCGGGGCUUAACUCCGCGCUUGCAGUGGGUACGGGCAGGCUUGAGUGUAGUAGGGGAGACUGGAAUUCCUGGUGUAGCGGUGAAAUGCGCAGAUAUCAGGAGGAACACCGGUGGCGAAGGCGGGUCUCUGGACUGUAACUGACACUGAGGCACGAAAGCGUGGGUAGCAAACAGG